rnacentral:rRNA from 1 species
AUUGAACGCUGGCGGCAUGCUUUACACAUGCAAGUCGAACGGCAGCGCGGGCUUCGGCCUGGCGGCGAGUGGCGAACGGGUGAGUAAUACAUCGGAACGUGCCCAGUAGUGGGGGAAAGCUCGGCGAAAGCCGGAUUAAUACCGCAUACGACCUGAGGGUGAAAGCGGGGGAUCUUCGGACCUCGCGCUAUUGGAGCGGCCGAUGGCAGAUUAGCUAGUUGGUGGGGUAAAGGCCUACCAAGGCGACGAUCUGUAGCUGGUCUGAGAGGACGACCAGCCACACUGGGACUGAGACACGGCCCAGACUCCUACGGGAGGCAGCAGUGGGGAAUUUUGGACAAUGGGCGAAAGCCUGAUCCAGCAAUGCCGCGUGUGUGAUGAAGGCCUUCGGGUUGUAAAGCACUUUUGGCGGGAACGAAAAGGACUGUGCCAAUACCACGGUUCGAUGACGGUACCCGCAGAAUAAGCACCGGCUAACUACGUG